rnacentral:rRNA from 1 species
AUUGAACGCUGGCGGCAGGCUUAACACAUGCAAGUCGAGCGGUAGCACAAGGGAGCUUGCUCCCUGGGUGACGAGCGGCGGACGGGUGAGUAAUGUCCGGGAAACUGCCUGAUGGAGGGGAAUAACUACUGGAAACGGUAGCUAAUACCGCAUAACGUCGCAAGACCAAAGAGGGGGACCUUCGGGCCUCUUGCCAUCAGAUGUGCCCAGAUGGGAUUAGCUAGUAGGUGGGGUAAUGGCUCACCUAGGCGACGAUCCCUAGCUGGUCUGAGAGGAUGACCAGCCACACUGGAACUGAGACACGGUCCAGACUCCUACGGGAGGCAGCAGUGGGGAAUAUUGCACAAUGGGCGCAAGCCUGAUGCAGCCAUGCCGCGUGUGUGAAGAAGGCCUUCGGGUUGUAAAGCACUUUCAGCGAGGAGGAAGGUGGUGAGCUUAAUACGCUCAUCAAUUGACGUUACUCGCAGAAGAAGCACCGGCUAACUCCGUGCCAGCAGCCGCGGUAAUACGGAGGGUGCAAGCGUUAAUCGGAAUUACUGGGCGUAAAGCGCACGCAGGCGGUUUGUUAAGUCAGAUGUGAAAUCCCCGGGCUCAACCUGGC